CAUUACGAUUUUUGCGUAGUUUUUCCGAUUUUGCUUUAAAAACUACGCUAUUACGGUCAAAGUUGAAUAGUUACGGAUUACCAAUCAUCGCCGUUCAAUUUUGUAAAACACGGAAUUUUAUUAUUACUUUUCCGUCCUGGUCCGGUAUUUAGAAAACGCCAAUGUAAUGCUUCCGGUUUCUCUGGAGUUAUCAACCUAUUGUUGAAUCAUUAACUGACUUCCGAAUAGGCAAACUUGCAUUUUAUGAAGUAGCUUUCCCCCUUUCUCUACUUCUCCUUGACAA
rnacentral:lncRNA from 1 species